rnacentral:rRNA from 1 species
UACAGAGGUCCCGAGCGUUGUUCGGAUUCAUUGGGCGUAAAGGGUGCGUAGGCGGCGGGGAAAGUCUGAUGUGAAAUCCUGGGGCUCAACCCUGGAACUGCAUUGGAUACUUCCUUGCUAGAGUACUGGAGAGGAAACUGGAAUUUACGGUGUAGCAGUGAAAUGCGUAGAGAUCGUAAGGAAGACCAGUGGCGAAGGCGAGUUUCUGGACAGUUACUGACGCUGGAGGCGCGAAAGGCGUGGGGAGCAAACGGG